rnacentral:lncRNA from 1 species
UUAAUACAUACACAUACAUAGUUGAGCUGGAAUGCAGUCGGUAGUAAACAGGCUCCGUUGCCAUCUAUUUGUUUUCGAUGACCGAGCUUUCAAAUCGACGAUCGAUACGGUUGAAUAUGAUCUAAUCUAUAAACCAAAUUUUAAAUCUUUUCGACAUCAUUGACCUGAUAAUCAAAAAUUUUUAAAAAUUAUAAUUUUAAUGAUAGAUACGAGACGUUUUCUUAUUUAAUGGUACAAAACUAUUCAAAUUAAUUAAAUUUUGAUUAAAAAAUUCUUUAAACUAUUUAAAAUAAAAUUUAUACUCUCGAUCUUAAUUACAAAAUUCCUAUCAUCACCUUUUAGAGGAUAUUCAUUUUCAGCCGUUCAUUUCUACGCCCACUUGAUGAACAAGAGAACAAUAUCAGAAAAGCAUAAAAUUUGAUUUCUAGAUACUUCAAGUGAUAUAGAUCAUAUUCAACGGUGCGGAUUAUCGAUUUGGAGGCUCCAUCAUUAAUAACAAAUGGGUGGCAACGGAGUCCGUUUGCUACCGAUAGUAUUCUAGCUCAACUCAUUAUAUAUUAUGUUAUAAAUAUAAAUUAUUAUAUAUUUUGUUAUAUGUAUAUAUAUAUAUAUAUAUAGAACUAGGCUACUAUGCUAUUAAUAGCACCAAGUCAUCGGUGCUACCAAGUUUUUGGCCAUUGGAUUAAGAGAUGUGCGGUUAGGAUGAUGUGGGCCCCCUAGGGUUGAGUGAGUGGUUGGUUUAAUAGUAUGAUCUAACGGGUGAAAAUGAUCAAA